UUCUUCUUGCAGAUCUGGGAUCAUUUCUCUUUGGCCUCAAGAACUUCUUUUGGCAUUUCUUGCUGGAGAUGAAAGUUCUCAGCUUUUGUCUGAAUUUUGACUCUGAUGUGCCUAGGUGUGGUUUGCUUUGGAUUCAUUCUUCGUGCUGUUGGCUGCAGUCCUUGGACCUGUCAAUCACUCAACAUGACCUCUUAUUGGCAACAUUAGCAGUGGAUUUUGCAUGCUUAGGGGCCAUGAGGAACAAAACAACAUGAGAUUAAAUCAAGCACAAGAGAAAAUGAUGCCAUCAAGAGAUGCUGUAAACACAAGAUGUAUAUGAGGCUUCUGCUGGUGUAACAUGGCAUUCUGUUUUACAGUAAACUUUUUUUAAUAAGUAGAAAGAGUAUACUCUAAAAUGAUGAUAAAAAGUAUAGUAUAGUAAAUAUAUAAACCAGUGACAUAGUUGUUUAUUAUCA